rnacentral:rRNA from 1 species
GAGUAACGCGUGAGAAUCUGGCUCUAGGUUCGGGACAACCACUGGAAACGGUGGCUAAUACCGGGUAUGCCGAGAGGUGAAAGAUUAAUUGCCUGGAGAUGAGCUCGCGUCUGAUUAGCUAGUUGGUGGUGUAAGGGACUACCAAGGCGACGAUCAGUAGCUGGUCUGAGAGGAUGAUCAGCCACACUGGAACUGAGACACGGUCCAGACUCCUACGGGAGGCAGCAGUGGGGAAUUUUCCGCAAUGGGCGAAAGCCUGACGGAGCAAUACCGCGUGAGGGAGGAAGGCUCUUGGGUUGUAAACCUCUUUUCUCAGGGAAUAAGCAAGUGAAGGUACCUGAGGAAUCAGCAUCGGCUAACUCCGUGCCAGCAGCCGCGGUAAUACGGAGGAUGCAAGCGUUAUCCGGAAUGAUUGGGCGUAAAGCGUCCGUAGGUGGCUGUGUGUGUCUAUUGUUAAAGAGUUUGGCUCAACCAAAUAAGGGCGGUAGAAACUACACAGCUAGAGUGCGUUCGGGGCAGAGGGAAUUCCUGGUGUAGCGGUGAAAUGCGUAGAGAUCAGGAAGAACACCGGUGGCGAAAGCGCUCUGCUAGGCCGCAACUGACACUGAGGGACGAAAGCUAGGGGAGCGAAUGGG